rnacentral:rRNA from 2 species
CUAAUACAUGCAAGUCGAGCGAAUGGAUUAAGAGCUUGCUCUUAUGAAGUUAGCGGCGGACGGGUGAGUAACACGUGGGUAACCUGCCCAUAAGACUGGGAUAACUCCGGGAAACCGGGGCUAAUACCGGAUAACAUUUUGAACUGCAUGGUUCGAAAUUGAAAGGCGGCUUCGGCUGUCACUUAUGGAUGGACCCGCGUCGCAUUAGCUAGUUGGUGAGGUAACGGCUCACCAAGGCAACGAUGCGUAGCCGACCUGAGAGGGUGAUCGGCCACACUGGGACUGAGACACGGCCCAGACUCCUACGGGAGGCAGCAGUAGGGAAUCUUCCGCAAUGGACGAAAGUCUGACGGAGCAACGCCGCGUGAGUGAUGAAGGCUUUCGGGUCGUAAAACUCUGUUGUUAGGGAAGAACAAGUGCUAGUUGAAUAAGCUGGCACCUUGACGGUACCUAACCAGAAAGCCACGGCUAACUACGUGCCAGCAGCCGCGGUAAUACGUAGGUGGCAAGCGUUAUCCGGAAUUAUUGGGCGUAAAGCGCGCGCAGGUGGUUUCUUAAGUCUGAUGUGAAAGCCCACGGCUCAACCGUGGAGGGUCAUUGGAAACUGGGAGACUUGAGUGCAGAAGAGGAAAGUGGAAUUCCAUGUGUAGCGGUGAAAUGCGUAGAGAUAUGGAGGAACACCAGUGGCGAAGGCGACUUUCUGGUCUGUAACUGACACUGAGGCGC